rnacentral:rRNA from 1 species
UACAGAGGGUGCAAGCGUUAAUCGGAAUUACUGGGCGUAAAGGGUGCGUAGGUGGACGCAUAAGUCGGAUGUGAAAUCCCUGGGCUUAACCUAGGAACUGCAUUCGAUACUGUGAGUCUAGAGUAUGGUAGAGGUAAGUGGAAUUUCCGGUGUAGCGGUGAAAUGCGUAGAUAUCGGAAGGAACAUCAGUGGCGAAGGCG